GCAAAGUUGUGGCCUGGGUCCCAUCAGCCUGGCUCAGACCAGUAGAGUCCCUACCUGGAGAUGGAAAGCUUGUUGGGAACCAUCAGGUGGGGUCAGCAGGGUAGGGGCACGUGAGGUGGGCAGAGAGCAACAGGGAAACAUCUGGCAGCCAUCAGGGUGAGGGACAGACGAUAACCCGCUCAGAGAGCAAGACCUGCCUCUUGGAUGAACAGAGUGGGCCCUGCCAUGGCCUAGUUUUGGGUGAGGAGAAUUCCAAGUGAGGGAAGGAAUUCACAGCAGCCACAUUGCUGACAGCAGCCACCCCACCGCAGCCCACACUUAGCGUGCCAACGCUCCCUCAGGGCCAAAAGAAACAGCUGCAGAAAAUGAUUCUCCAGGAGAUCUCGAAUGUCCUGUCCUUCUAGAGAUGCUUAUGGACGUCUGUAUUCAUUGUGUGUGCCAAGAACCAGCACUUACAUUAUCCUCUGUAUUCUGGUCUUCCUUUCAUUUCUGAUUUUGGAAAUUCACAUUGGAUAUGAGAUGUUUUUAAUUUUAAAUAGAUAAAAUUAAAUGAGCAUAACGUCAAUAUUUUCCAUCCUGACUGCCCUGUAUGUAAACAGCAAAUCCCACAACACAUCAGAGGAGAAUGUUAAAUGGCCCUCAGCCUUUCUGUCAUUCGUGAAAGAUAUCCUUUGGACAAACUGGAUAAAUGAGAACAACUUGCCAGAGGAAAGGUGCCUAUAAAGACUUGAGCCUGCAGUUAAUGGGCUAAGUAGCUUCAAAUCGAGGGCACUGUAGGCAGAGGCUGAUUAUAUCCAAGUGUGAGAACCCUAUGACAUUUUCAGAAAGGCAGGACGAUUAACUGAUGGUUAGGCUUCAAACUCAUGAAAACGACAGGCUCACUGGCCUGGUCCUGUGUCACUGAAUGUGUGGAGAAGAAAUGGAUUCCUGUGGUACAUUAGGAAAAAAGUUUUAUCAGAAGUUUCAGUGUAAAUAGAAUUGCUAAAUUGUAAGAGGGAAUACAUUUGCCAGAGGAGAAAAAUCCAGAUGUUCAAGGCCCUGGAUCAGGAUGUGAAGAACGUGUCACAUCGACACAUUCACUGAAUGAAAGAAAGUCUCCAGGGCAGAUUUUUCAAGGGAAAGUAAUAGCAAAGAAUUUCCUAAAACUAUCAAGAAUGCUCUCUCCCUCUUUGGGCUUCAGAACCGAGGGCUGCUCUUCAAGCUCAGAAAGCCCUCGGCUUUCUAACCACGUUUCCACACAUCACUGAGAAGGAAAGAGAUUGGUUCUAAAACCGCAUAAAGGUGAUGGCUGCUCAGAACCUCCCCAAGCUCGCGACGUUCUCAGCUCCAAAGGCAUCGAUUCCGUUUCACUCCACGUCAGCUCUUCUUCAGCAUGGGCUCACCUGUCCUGUCUACUCAGACCUUCUAUCUGAUCACAGCGCUCUACCCUGUGCCUUCUCCUUAUCAGUCAUUAUUACCAUAGCUGCACUACGUCACCCUCAUCAAGAAAUUCAUUCAAUUAUAUUUUGAGAGCCUACUGGGUGCCAGGUGUUGACCCCAAGGACAAUUCUUAUGAAACAUCAUGCACAAUAAACUCCAUCUCAGAAUCUGCUUCCCAGAAAACCCAACCAGCGAUUUUUAUACACAUCAGUGAACAAAUUCUGGAAAAAACGUCCACCAGGUAUUUUGUGUUGGAUGGGUUUUAUGUCAUAAUUUUUGGUGUUGUUUGAUCCUUUUAAAAUGGGUAUUUAUUGUCAUCAGAUGAAAAUAAUAAAGAGGUUUUCAUUUUGGAAAAUAAGAGUUAAUGAUUUGGUUUUAUUCUGGUCAAAAUGACCACAUCAAAGCAUCUGGAUUGAAAUGGUAGCAUCCAAGCCACAUGGUGUGCACCCUUCUGAGUGGGGAGUUGAGUUCCGCUGAUCCACACUCUUCCUUCUACUGCUCUAGGUCGUGGUCGAGGUAGGGGUGUG
rnacentral:lncRNA from 1 species